AAGUGAGUAACGUUUGGUGGUUAGUUUCUUGGUGCUGAUCACUGCUAUUUACUACUACUACUACUUCUUCAAGGUAAUGAAGAUUGUGUGAGAGAGUUAGUUUCUCACGUAAUGUAGCAGCAGCGCCUUUAUUUGCUAGUUGCACCCCCUUUUUCUCUUUCAUAAAUAUUUUGCACUCUUUUUCUUUGUUUAUUAUUUUUCCAUUUUGAAUAAGAAAAAAGAAGUUAGGA
rnacentral:lncRNA from 1 species